ensembl:miRNA microRNA 22
GCUGCUGGCAACGUGCACCAGUUCUUCAGUGGCAAGCUUUACGUCCCUGUCUCGUAGCUAAAGCUGCCAGUUGAAGAACUGUUGAACGUAGCCCCGCUC